CUUGCACCGCCGAGUAGAGUGGCGCCCGGGUGAGUAACAUGUGGAUAAUCUACCUUUAAAUUUGGGAUAACUAUGCGAAAGUGUAGCUAAUACCGGAUGAGGUCUAAUGGUCUUCGGGUUAUUAGAUGAAAGAGUGCUUUUUCGGAGGCAUUUGUUUGAAGAUGAGUCCGCAUACCAUUAGUUAGUUGGUGGGGUAAAGGCCUACCAAGACGAUGAUGGUUAGCUGGUCUGAGAGGAUGAUCAGCCACACUGGAACUGACACACGGUCCAGACUCCUACGGGAGGCAGCAGUGAGGGAUUUUGCGCAAUGGGGGAAACCCUGACGCAGCAACGCCGCGUGAGUGAAGAAGGCCUUUGGGUCGUAAAGCUCUGUCAACAGGGAGGAAGUUAUUAUAUUUUAAUAGAGUAUAGUAUUGACGGUACCUGAGAAGGAAGCAUCGGCUAACUCCGUGCCAGCAGCCGCGGUAAUACGGGGGAUGCAAGCGUUAUUCGGAAUUAUUGGGCGUAAAGGGCGCGUAGGCGGUUUUUUAAG
rnacentral:rRNA from 1 species